rnacentral:rRNA from 1 species
AGAGUUUGAUCCUGGCUCAGAACGAACGCUGGCGGCAUGCCUAACACAUGCAAGUCGAACGAACUCUUCGGAGUUAGUGGCGCACGGGUGCGUAACGCGUGGGAAUCUGCCCUUGGGUUUGGAAUAACAGCGAGAAAUUGCUGCUAAUACCAAAUAAUGUCGCAAGACCAAAGAUUUAUCGCCCAAGGAUGAGCCCGCGUAGGAUUAGCUAGUUGGUGAGGUAAAAGCUCACCAAGGCGACGAUCCUUAGCUGGUCUGAGAGGAUGAUCAGCCACACUGGGACUGAGACACGGCCCAGACUCCUACGGGAGGCAGCAGUGGGGAAUAUUGGACAAUGGGCGAAAGCCUGAUCCAGCAAUGCCGCGUGAGUGAUGAAGGCCUUAGGGUUGUAAAGCUCUUUUACCCGGGAUGAUAAUGACAGUACCGGGAGAAUAAGCUCCGGCUAACUCCGUGCCAGCAGCCGCGGUAAUACGGAGGGAGCUAGCGUUGUUCGGAAUUACUGGGCGUAAAGCGCACGUAGGCGGCUUUGUAAGUUAGAGGUGAAAGCCUGGAGCUCAACUCCAGAAUUGCCUUUAAGACUGCAUCGCUUGAAUCCAGGAGAGGUGAGUGGAAUUCCGAGUGUAGAGGUGAAAUUCGUAGAUAUUCGGAAGAACACCAGUGGCGAAGGCGGCUCACUGGACUGGUAUUGACGCUGAGGUGCGAAAGCGUGGGGAUCAAACAGGAUUAGAUACCCCGGUAGUCC